UACAGAGGGUGCGAGCGUUAAUCGGAAUUACUGGGCGUAAAGCGUGCGUAGACGGUCAAGUAAGUCGGGUGUGAAAGCCCGGCUCAACCUGGAAUUGCAUUCGAGACUGCGUGGCUAGGGUGCGGAAGAGGGAAGCGGAAUUUCCGGUGUAGCGGUGAAAUGCGUAGAUAUCGGAAGGAACACCAGUGGCGAAAGCGGACUUCCUGGUCCG
rnacentral:rRNA from 1 species